rnacentral:lncRNA from 1 species
AGCAGGAGCACUCCCUCACAGCAGGAACACCUCACUCACAGCAGGAGCACUCCCUCACAGCAGGAGCACUCCCUCACAGCAGGAGCACCUCACUCACAGCAGGAGCACUCACUCACAGCAGGAGCACUCCCUCACAGCAGGAACUCUCCCUCACAGCAGGAGCACCUCCUUUUUGUUUUGUGGUUGUUGAUUUUGUCUGGUUUUGGAUAUCUGUCUUACAGGUUGUUUUGGGAAUCUGUCUUACAGGUUGACAUCAAAUUCAUAAUCCUCCUGCCUCAGGCUCCCAAGUGUUGCAGGUGUGCACUUCCAUGCCCAGCUGUAUGAUGUCUUUUCUUAUCCAAAACUGUUUUAUAAGAGGCCCAACAUAUGGCAUUUAAAACAAUCAACCUAUGUUUAUUUGAUUAAAUAUAGCAGUAGACUAACUGUGUCAUUUAUUGGAUUCAAGGUGGAUGAAAAUUUUUUAAAAAAUUAGAUAAAACAUAUAGUACAAACUGUUUCUCAAAAUGAUUUUGUAGUCUCUUCCUUGUUUUAUUGCUACCUAUAUUCAGUUUACAAAAGUAUUUCAGCACCGAACCAUGGUGUGGAUGCAAGUGCCCGCAGUGCCCAGAAGAGGGUGUCUGAUACUCUUGGACCGAGUUAGAGGUGUGGUGAGCUGCCCUCCAUGGGUAAUGGGAACCAACCUCAAGUCCUCAGUAAAAGAGUAUGCACUCGUAGCCACUAAGGCAUCUCCACAGCCCCUUGUCCUUUUGAAACUCUGAGGAUUUGUCUUCAGUUCUCUUCCCUACAGCAGUUAUUGCCGCUGCCAUUACUGUUCCCAGACAUGAAAGUUUCACUGUCUAGCUUCUUACUCUUGGUACUCCUGGUACUCCUGGUAUUGUCUUUGAAUACUCACUAUGCCUUCACCACCAAAUACUAUUAAUAAUUAUU